GAUGAACGCUGGCGGCGUGCCUAAUACAUGCAAGUCGAGCGAACAGACGAGGAGCUUGCUCCUCUGACGUUAGCGGCGGACGGGUGAGUAACACGUGGAUAACCUACCUAUAAGACUGGGAUAACUUCGGGAAACCGGAGCUAAUACCGGAUAAUAUAUUGAACCGCAUGGUUCAAUAGUGAAAGACGGUUUUGCUGUCACUUAUAGCUGGAUCCGCGCCGCAUUAGCUAGUUGGUAAGGUAACGGCCUACCAAGGCAACGAUGCGUAGCCGACCUGAGAGGGUGAUCGGCCACACUGGAACUGAGACACGGUCCAGACUCCUACGGGAGGCAGCAGUAGGGAAUCUUCCGCAAUGGGCGAAAGCUUGACGGAGCAACGCCGCGUGAGUGAUGAAGGUCUUCGGAUCGUAAAACUCUGUUAUUAGGGAAGAACAAAUGUGUAAGUAACUAUGCACGUCUUGACGGUACCUAAUCAGAAAGCCACGGCUAACUACGUG
rnacentral:rRNA from 1 species